ACGCGCGGAACCUUACCAGGUCUUGACAUCCUCUGACACUCCUAGAGAUAGGACGUUCCCCUUCGGGGGACAGAGUGACAGGUGGUGCAUGGUUGUCGUCAGCUCGUGUCGUGAGAUGUUGGGUUAAGUCCCGCAACGAGCGCAACCCUUGAUCUUAGUUGCCAGCAUUAAGUUGGGCACUCUAAGGUGACUGCCGGUGACAAACCGGAGGAAGGUGGGGAUGACGUCAAAUCAUCAUGCCCCUUAUGACCUGGGCUACACACGUGCUACAAUGGAUGGUACAAAGGGCAGCAAAACCGCGAGGUCGAGCAAAUCCCAUAAAACCAUUCUCAGUUCGGAUUGUAGGCUGCAACUCGCCUACAUGAAGCUGGAAUCGCUAGUAAUCGCGGAUCAGCAUGCCGCGGUGAAUACGUUCCCGGGCCUUGUACACACCGCCCGU
rnacentral:rRNA from 1 species